AGUGAACGCUGGCGGUAGGCCUAACACAUGCAAGUCGAACGGCAGCACAGUAAGAGCUUGCUCUUACGGGUGGCGAGUGGCGGACGGGUGAGGAAUACAUCGGAAUCUACUUUUUCGUGGGGGAUAGCGUAGGGAAACUUACGCUAAUACCGCAUACGACCUACGGGUGAAAGCAGGGGAUCUUCGGACCUUGCGCGAUUGAAUGAGCCGAUGUCGGAUUAGCUAGUUGGCGGGGUAAAGGCCCACCAAGGCGACGAUCCGUAGCUGGUCUGAGAGGAUGAUCAGCCACACUGGAACUGAGAUACGGUCCAGACUCCUACGGGAGGCAGCAGUGGGGAAUAUUGGACAAUGGGCGCAAGCCUGAUCCAGCCAUACCGCGUGGGUGAAGAAGGCCUUCGGGUUGUAAAGCCCUUUUGUUGGGAAAGAAAAGCAGCAGGUUAAUACCCCGCUGUUCUGACGGUACCCAAAGAAUAAGCACCGGCUAACUUCGUG
rnacentral:rRNA from 1 species